AGUGAACGCUGGCGGUAGGCCUAACACAUGCAAGUCGAGCGGCAGCACAGUAAGAGCUUGCUCUUACGGGUGGCGAGUGGCGGACGGGUGAGGAAUACAUCGGAAUCUACUUUUUCGUGGGGGAUAACGUAGGGAAACUUACGCUAAUACCGCAUACGACCUACGGGUGAAAGCAGGGGAUCUUCGGACCUUGCGCGAUUGAAUGAGCCGAUGUCGGAUUAGCUAGUUGGCGGGGUAAAGGCCCACCAAGGCGACGAUCCGUAGCUGGUCUGAGAGGAUGAUCAGCCACACUGGAACUGAGACACGGUCCAGACUCCUACGGGAGGCAGCAGUGGGGAAUAUUGGACAAUGGGCGCAAGCCUGAUCCAGCCAUACCGCGUGGGUGAAGAAGGCCUUCGGGUGGUAAAGCCCUUUUGUUGGGAAAGAAAAGCAGCAGGUUAAUACCCCGCUGUUCUGACGGUACCCAAAGAAUAAGCACCGGCUAACUUCGUG
rnacentral:rRNA from 1 species